rnacentral:rRNA from 1 species
CAGCAGCCGCGGUAAUACAGAGGGUGCGAGCGUUAAUCGGAUUUACUGGGCGUAAAGCGUGCGUAGGCGGCUUUUUAAGUCGGAUGUGAAAUCCCUGAGCUUAACUUAGGAAUUGCAUUCGAUACUGGGAAGCUAGAGUAUGGGAGAGGAUGGUAGAAUUCCAGGUGUAGCGGUGAAAUGCGUAGAGAUCUGGAGGAAUACCGAUGGCGAAGGCAGCCAUCUGGCCUAAUACUGACGCUGAGGUACGAAAGCAUGGGGAGCAAACAGGAUUAGAUACCCGCGUAGUCCCUGUCUCUUAUAU